rnacentral:rRNA from 2 species
UACACAUGCAGUCGAACGGCAGCGCGGGGCAACCUGGCGGCGAGUGGCGAACGGGUGAGUAAUAUAUCGGAACGUACCCUGGAGUGGGGGAUAACGUAGCGAAAGUUACGCUAAUACCGCANACGAUCUAAGGAUGAAAGUGGGGGAUCGCAAGACCUCAUGCUCCUGGAGCGGCCGAUNUCUGAUUANGUAGUUGGUGGGGUAAAGGCCCACCAAGGCUUCGAUCAGUAGCUGGUCUGAGAGGACGACCAGCCACACUGGAACUGAGACACGGUCCAGACUCCUACGGGAGGCAGCAGUGGGGAAUUUUGGACAAUGGGCGCAAGCCUGAUCCAGCAAUGCCGCGUGAGUGAAGAAGGCCUUCGGGUUGUAAAGCUCUUUUGUCAGGGAAGAAACGGUGAGGGCUAAUAUCCCUUGCUAAUGACGGUACCUGAAGAAUAAGCACCGGCUAACUACGUGCCAGCAGCCGCGGUAAUACGUAGGGUGCAAGCGUUAAUCGGAAUUACUGGGCGUAAAGCGUGCGCAGGCGGUUUUGUAAGUUUGUCGUGAAAGCCCCGGGCUCAACCUGGGAAUUGCGAUGAAGACUGCAAGGCUUGAAUCUGGCAGAGGGGGGUAGAAUUCCACGUGUAGCA